GACGAACGCUGGCGGCGUGCCUAAUACAUGCGAGUAGAACGCUGAAGGAGGAGCUUGCUUCUCUGGAUGAGUUGCGAACGGGUGAGUAACGCGUAGGUAACCUGCCUGGUAGCGGGGGAUAACUAUUGGAAACGAUAGCUAAUACCGUAUAAGAGUAGAUGUUGCAUGACAUUUGCUUAAAAGGUGCAAUUGCAUCACUACCAGAUGGACCUGCGUUGUAUUAGCUAGUUGGUGGGGUAACGGCUUACCAAGGCGACGAUACAUAGCCGACCUGAGAGGGUGAUCGGCCACACUGGGACUGAGACACGGCCCAGACUCCUACGGGAGGCAGCAGUAGGGAAUCUUCGGCAAUGGACGGAAGUCUGACCGAGCAACGCCGCGUGAGUGAAGAAGGUUGUCGGAUCGUAAAGCUCUGUUGUAAGAGAAGAACGAGUGUGAGAGUGGAAAGUUCACACUGUGACGGUAUCUUACCAGAAAGGGACGGCUAACUACGUG
rnacentral:rRNA from 1 species